rnacentral:rRNA from 1 species
GGGGGCCAUCAUACCAGCAUUAAUACACUAGAUUCCAUAGGAACUCCAAAGUUAAGCGCGCUUGGGAAAAGGUUUGAGAUUUACAUCCUGGUUUUGUCCAAAU